ACAUAGCACACAGUUUCUUACAUUAUUAAAGUGAUCAAACAAUUCUUUAUCACUUCCAUUCAAAUGAACCAAAACAUGACUAAAACUAUCAACUUUGUUUAUAUUAUGAUCCUAUUUCUUUCUCCAUUUCUUGCUGCAAUCGAAUAUCCUCCAUUUCAUUAUCCAUGUAACUUUGACUUCAAUUGUCUGUGGAUCGAUUGUGCUCCUGGAAAAGUUGGAAUGUGCCAUUUUGGAACAUGUUGUUGUGAUGACAGGAAACCUUCCACAUGGUAAUUAAAGUCAAUUGAUGGAGCUUCGCAUGGGAGAGAGGAUCUUUUUGUUUUUCUCUAUUAUGUAUGAGAUAUUUUUAAGAUUUUAAUAGUGUGUGUUAUUGAAGUGGUUAUGAUCUUUAAUAGUGUGUGAUAUUAGUGUAAGAUUUAAACUUUAUGAGAAUUUAUAGGAUUGAUAUCUAGUUCAACAUAACAGGGUCCUAUACAACACACUUUUGUUGUAACAAGCAAACUCCUAUAAAACAUACUUUGUUUGUAUCAAGCAAACUCGAGAAUGGUGAAUUUUCAAUA